rnacentral:rRNA from 1 species
ACAGGUGCUAAUACCGUAUAUCUCUAAGGAUCGCAUGAUCCUUAGAUGAAAGAUGGUUCUGCUAUCGCUUUUAGAUGGACCCGCGGCGUAUUAACUAGUUGGUGGGGUAACGGCCUACCAAGGUGAUGAUACGUAGCCGAACUGAGAGGUUGAUCGGCCACAUUGGGACUGAGACACGGCCCAAACUCCUACGGGAGGCAGCAGUAGGGAAUCUUCCACAAUGGACGCAAGUCUGAUGGAGCAACGCCGCGUGAGUGAARAAGGUCUUCSGAUCGUAAAACUCUGUUGUUAGARAAGAACACGAGUGARAGUAACUGUUCWUUYRAUGACGGUAUCUAACCAGMAAGYCACGGCUAACUACGUGCCAGCAGCCGCGGUAAUACGUAGGUGGCAAGCGUUGUCCGGAUUUAUUGGGCGUAAAGGGAACGCA